CUAAGCCACAGUGAUGUUAGUUACACGAGCACCAAUCGAUUGAUUCUGAGCUUGGAGUUCGAUUCUGAUUCUGAGCCCCUUCCAUGGAUUUGAUUUCUUUAGUCAAUUCUGGUUGGAAAAAGGAUCAUAACUGAAACCUCUUUAAUUUAGACUACGCAGGCAUGCAACAUUUCAUAUUGUUUCGAGCAAUUUUAGUUCUGUUAUGCCUUCUUCAAUUUUCAUUUUCUUCCUUUAUUUUGACAAAGUUUUUCGUUCAUUUACAGAUAGUUGAUGGAGAUGUCUGCCAUAAUAUAACUCUACCCAUUUACAUCACACUUCCACUUCUUUUGACUUGUCCAACAAUUUAUGCUAGUCCAUUUUCAAUAAAGUUCAAAGUUUUGAUCGUCAUUACCUUCCAGUCAGAGCUAUUGAAGUUGAAUCCAAAAUCUGAUCCUAGAACUCCUAGACCGUGGCUGGCAAUGGAAAAGUGUAUCGUUGGAACUUAUUCAAACAAAGUAAGAUGCUCCAUAUUGUAGGUAAUCUUCUGAUCAAACUCUUCUACCUUCUAUACACAAAUGGAGUGAAAACUCCUGGAUAUGUACUUUAUUGAGUGAAUAAUGGUGAAUGAUGUGUAAGCUUUCCUAUUUGUUGUAGAAUCUUAUUAGUUUAUGAAUCACAAAA